GCACUGCUGAGGAGUCCCACAAUAGGACGAACCGGCCGUCCAGUGC
rfam:Schistosoma mattheei strain Denwood, Zambia genome assembly, scaffold: SMTD_contig0002115